CUGAAAACACAGUAUAAAAGUAAUAAAUCAACAUGAUUAAACCGCUAUAUUUUCUCUGCAUUUUCAGAAAAAAUAAUAUUGUUAUUCAUGAAGUGUUUCGGUCGACGACGAAGACUCUGGAGUACAACUGCUUGUAACAAUUGUGUUAUCAUCAUUCUGUAAUUUAUCACAACAAAAUGCACCUUCCAUAGCCGCCACCAGUUUACCUUCUUCCUCGUUAAGUUCGGUGCUGCCGCAAACAUCAGGGUAGAUAUUUUACACACUCACGUGGACGAUGAACUUUCUGUGGUUUCACUGGAUACUCCACAAACCCUUGGUAUACUUUUGGCUGUGCAAGUAGGACAGUGUGCAUAUGGUAAAAAGAAAUUCAACAAAAAUUGAAGUUGUUGCUCAGAUGUAAUUUUCAAUGCCUGAAAAUAGAAAUCUUUUCAUAUUUUAUCUAAAAACAUUAUAAUUACUUGUUCAAGGAGAAUUACAUCAAAUAUUUUGUCCAAUCGAAUUAGUAACUUAUCGUCUUCCGUGUAAUCAGAAAGUAGA